rnacentral:rRNA from 1 species
GAUGAACGCUAGCGGCAGGCUUAACACAUGCAAGUCGAGGGGUAUAUGUCUUCGGAUAUAGAGACCGGCGCACGGGUGCGUAACGCGUAUGCAAUCUACCUUUUACAGAGGGAUAGCCCAGAGAAAUUUGGAUUAAUACCUCAUAGCAUAGUGACUCGGCAUCGAGAUACUAUUAAAGUCACAACGGUAAAAGAUGAGCAUGCGUCCCAUUAGCUAGUUGGUAAGGUAACGGCUUACCAAGGCUACGAUGGGUAGGGGUCCUGAGAGGGAGAUCCCCCACACUGGUAACUGAGACACGGACCAGACUCCUACGGGAGGCAGCAGUGAGGAAUAUUGGACAAUGGGGCGCAAGCCUGAUUCCAGCCAUGCCGCGUGCAGGAUGACGGUCCUAUGGAUUGUAAACUGCUUUUGUACGAGAAGAAACACUCCUACGUGUAGGAGCUUGACGGUAUCGUAAGAAUAAGGAUCGGCUAACUCCGUGCCAGCCAGCCGCGGUAAUACGGAGGAUCCAAGCGUUAUCCGGAAUCAUUGGGUUUAAAGGGUCCGUAGGCGGUUUAGUAAGUCAGUGGUGAAAGCCCAUCGCUCAACGGUGGAACGGCCAUUGAUACUGCUAAACUUGAAUUAUUAGGAAGUAACUAGAAUAUGUAGUGUAGCGGUGAAAUGCUUAGAGAUUACAUGGAAUACCAAUUGCGAAGGCAGGUUACUACUAAUGGAUUGACGCUGAUGGACGAAAGCGUGGGUAGCGAACAGGAUUAGAUACCCUGGUAGUCCACGCCGUAAACGAUGGAUACUAGCUGUUGGAAGCAAUUUCAGUGGCUAAGCGAAAGUGAUAAG